CGAGCGCACCUUCGGGUGAGCGGCGGACGGGUUAGUAACGCGUGGGAACAUACCCUUUUCUACGGAAUAGCCUCGGGAAACUGAGAGUAAUACCGUAUAAGCCCUUCGGGGGAAAGAUUUAUCGGGAAAGGAUUGGCCCGCGUUAGAUUAGAUAGUUGGUGGGGUAAUGGCCUACCAAGUCUACGAUCUAUAGCUGGUUUUAGAGGAUGAUCAGCAACACUGGGACUGAGACACGGCCCAGACUCCUACGGGAGGCAGCAGUGGGGAAUCUUAGACAAUGGGCGCAAGCCUGAUCUAGCCAUGCCGCGUGUGUGAUGAAGGUCUUAGGAUCGUAAAGCACUUUCGCCAGGGAUGAUAAUGACAGUACCUGGUAAAGAAACCCCGGCUAACUCCGUGCCAGCAGCCGCGGUAAUACGGAGGGGGUUAGCGUUGUUCGGAAUUACGGGCGUAAAGCGUACGUAGGCGGAUUGG
rnacentral:rRNA from 1 species